rnacentral:piRNA from 1 species
UGGACCUUGCCCUUUAGAUUGACCUCAAA